GGUCCUCACUCAACAGGUUUCAGGCCAAACAAUUUUGUUUCUCCCCUCCAGCGGGCCAAGGAGAUAGCGACACGCCGCCUGCGUGGGUACGUUGUUUACUUGCCUGACGGAUCAGAAACUCUGAGAGUUACGUCCCCUAGAUACCAAAAAUUCGAUGGCCUUAACUCCGCUAAUAGAGAGCUUGAUAAAAUUAUCAAUGGGAGCCGGAAGUUAUCCUGACGUCACAAGUAGACCACGCACUCUACUAUGUGGAAAGGUGCAGUG